AAUCACUUACGUUUCUAUCGCAUGUAGGAGCCAAGAUAUAGGGUCGGUGUUGGAUUCACGACGACGGUCCUAGAACAUAGAUCAAGAAGUUUCAACCAUGCGAGAAGCUCCCUCCCUCGGAAAUAUUCCCCAUACAUAUUUCAAUCAACCAGAUGAAAGCAGAAUGUUCAAGGUUUAUAUCACGUACAUGAGGACAUAGAAAAAUAAUGCACACAAAAUACGUGGCUCACAGUUCAAUGACGUAGAAUAUUUCAAAUCUAGAAUACGGAAACUCUAACUCUGAACCAAAGUGGUUCAAAGUUUUUUAUUAAUCAGCGGCAAAAAUUAACCUCAAAUCCAAGAGUCGAGUACACGGACGCGAGGCCCGCCGUCAGAAAAGUGUUGGAAAACGAUCCUUGAAAAAAAUGCCCUGUGAGACCCCGUGAGCGCGUCGGCAACUGCGAGUUAGCAACAGAUGGAGGAAGAAAAAGAAAAAGAGAGAGAGAGAGAGAGAGAGAGAGCCAGCCGUCCGCGGGUGUGCCGCGUGUCGCGUAUUACGUAUCGCUCAUAAAACGGCCACCACACACGGCAUACGCUUCAUCGAUCAGCAAAUUACUUGCGUCAUCGGCGAGUCUCGACGUACACCUAUAUACGUGUUCUUUUUUCCUCAUACGUAUUUUCUUUUCUCCCCGCGAUCCCUUCUUCUUCGACUCGGUCGCGGGACUAACGUGGAAGCACACGCAAAUUGUUUUAGAAAACGAUCAGAAAACGAGCGAAAUGAAAAAAAAGAGAGAAAGAGAAAGAGAGAGAGAGAGAGUUUCGAUCGAGCACACCGAGAAAUAAUAACCGAUAAUAACCGAUAAUAACGACGACAGUUCGUUGCAGCACGGAGGGAGGGAGGAAGGAAGGGGAGAGAGGAGAUCGAGAGGAAAGAUGGUCGGGCUAGAAUCGUUCGCGCGGGUUAGAACAAACCGACGAGCCCAACCGAGGAGAGAUGUUGGCGCGAGUGCAACGCGCCAUAUUCUUUGUCCUAUGACACGACGAUGUUAAAGCUCCGGUGGCUAAAAUUAAACGCAGCCGCCAGGGCUGAGUCUAAGACCGAGGCUGUGAGCAGGAGCAGCCGCCAGAAACCAGAGCACGUGCUUCGACUAAGUGACGUGUGCCUUCCUUGCCCCCUCUCCCCCGCCGUAUUCUCCCCUUUACUCCCUUUGCUCUGUCUCCCUCUCUGCGCCCUCUCCAAUUCUCUCUUCGUCUCCCUCUAUCCACCUAUCUGUCCACUUUUACCUCUUUUUUUCCAUCUACCGAACUCUAUGUCUCUCUCCAGCCACCCGUCUCCGUGUAUUUAUUUAUCUAAUCAUCCAGUUACCUCCUUCUUUCUUGUUCUACCUCGGUCUCCUACCCUACGUCAGUAACUUCGUAGUUACACGUUUGGAUGUAGAGACGCGGCGCUCUAUCCCACGCUGAAGAUUCACGGGAAUAAGUGGAUACUGACACACAGGCACACACAUGUAGAUACAGGUUCGGGGGCGUUGGAAGGAAGUACGUUUAGUCGAUGUGAAUGGAAAGAGGAGGUUACCUGAACGAUAUACCAAGGAGGAAGCUUUUCUGGAGCUGUUACUUAUACAAGAUACCCGCGUCAAAACAAAAAUUACCCUUACUACUACGACAACCGGAUGAGAUACCUUGAAGUUGAAACAGUAUAUGUCUAUUAUUUCCACUGAUAUUACUUGGAUUUCUGCAGUGUAUGUUUCACUAUAGUAAUUUUCACUUUUAAAUAAUGAAACAACGAGGUAAUUAUUUUAAAUUGGAAUCGCUUUUGUACAAAAAGUACCAACAAGGCUCGUCCACAUUGAACCAAUCACAUUUUUCCAGAGAAAAAUAAAAUAAAUACUCUUUUAGAGUUGUUGGCGUAUGUAAAUAUUUUUUAGCAAGUUUUAUCAAUCCUUCGCCAAGAUUCUCCGCCAUAAAUUGUAAUUUGUUUUGUCAUCUGUCAUAAAAGCAUCGAGUGAAACUGUAUCAAGUGUCGAGUAGUAAUAAUUCUAACCUCAAAUAUCAUAUAAGAUACCUAGAUGAUACCUGGUAUAGUAGGUGAAACUAUUAUACAUAUCUAUUACUUCUACUGAUGUCGAACAUGCCUACAGCAUAAUUUUUGUUCCAGUGAUAA